rnacentral:rRNA from 1 species
UACGGAGGGGGCUAGCGUUAUUCGGAAUUACUGGGCGUAAAGCGCACGUAGGCGGACCAGAAAGUCAGAGGUGAAAUCCCAGGGCUCAACCUUGGAACUGCCUUUGAAACUCCUGGUCUUGAGUUCGAGAGAGGUGAGUGGAAUUCCGAGUGUAGAGGUGAAAUUCGUAGAUAUUCGGAGGAACACCAGUGGCGAAGGCGGCUCACUGGCUCGAUACUGACGCUGAGGUGCGAAAGCGUGGGGAGCAAACAGG